AUGCUAGUCUUAAUCCAUCACAAGACACUGGAUCCAUGGGCGCCCAUGUUGGCAGAGCAGCCACGGGCACUUGCACGCCUCCCCUGGGGAUGGGGCUGGCUGUUGAUGGGGAGAUGUGCCUAUGGGGCUGUGUGUGCCCUGCCCCACACAGAUGUGUUCAGGGUUGUUCCAGGACACGAGAUCAACAUACGGCUCAGUCUGGGCAGUACCGGGCAUGCUGCAGACACUAAGCCUGUCCUUUUCUCCUGCCAGGCAGUGCAGAUAGCUCCCCGGCAAAGCCAUCACCCCCAGCUCCCCAUGCCCGGCUCCCGCACGCCCUCCCCACAGGCACGGCGCUGGCAGUGGCGGCCGUCGGCCUCGUCCUCCUGGCUGCAGGCAACUGGUCUGCCAUCAGGAAAGGUGAGGGAGUGGGGGAAGGCGGGGGGAAAGGCUGAGGCCGUGGGGGUCCUGCUGCGGGGCUGGUGCAGGGGGAAAGGCGGUGGGGGGG
rnacentral:lncRNA from 1 species